rnacentral:rRNA from 1 species
CCACACGACCGUACCGCAAACCGACACUGGUGCGCGAGAUGAGUAUUCUAAGGCGCUUGAGAGAACUCAGGAGAAGGAACUCGGCAAAUUGACACCGUAACUUCGGAAGAAGGUGUGCCUUUAGUAGGUGAACCUGUACAAGGGGAGCCCAAUGAGGUUGCAAAAAAUCGGUGGCUGCGACUGUUUAAUAAAAACACAGCACUCUGCAAACACGAAAGUGGACGUAUAGGGUGUGACGCCUGCCCGGUGCUGGAAGAUUAAAUGAUGGGGUGCAAGCUCUUGAUUGAAGUCCCAGUAAACGGCGGCCGUAACAAUAACGGUCCUAAGGUAGCGAAAUUCCUUGUCGGGUAAGUUCCGACCUGCACGAAUGGCGUAACGAUGGCCACACUGUCUCCUCCUGAGACUCAGCGAAGUUGAAAUGUUUGUGAUGAUGCAAUCUCCCCGCGGAAAGACGGAAAGACCCCAUGAACCUUUACUGUAGCUUUGUAUUGGACUUUGAACAGAUCUGUGUAGGAUAGGUGGGAGGCUUUGAAGUGUGGUCGCUAGAUCGCAUGGAGCCAACGUUGAAAUACCACCCUGGUGUGUUUGAGGUUCUAACCUAGGCCCGUAAUCCGGGUCGGGGACAGUGCAUGGUAGGCAGUUUGACUGGGGCGGUCUCCUCCCAAAGCGUAACGGAGGAGUUCGAAGGUACGCUAGGUACGGUCGGACAUCGUGCUAAUAGUGCAAUGGCAUAAGCGUGCUUAACUGCGAGACUGACAAGUCGAGCAGAUGCGAAAGCAGGACAUAGUGAUCCGGUGGUUCUGUAUGGAAGGGCCAUCGCUCAACGGAUAAAAGGUACUCUGGGGAUAACAGGCUGAUACCGCCCAAGAGUUCAUAUCGACGGCGGUGUUUGGCACCUCGAUGUCGGCUCAUCUCAUCCUGGGGCUGUAGCCGGUCCCAAGGGUAUGGCUGUUCGCCAUUUAAAGAGGUACGUGAGCUGGGUUUAAAACGUCGUGAGACAGUUUGGUCCCUAUCUUCCGUGGGCGCUGCAGAUUUGAGGAAGCCUGCUCCUAGUACGAGAGGACCGGAGUGGACACACCUCUGGUGUAUCGGUUGUCACGCCAGUGGCAUUGCCGGGUAGCUAUGUGUGGAAGAGAUAACCGCUGAAAGCAUCUAAGCGGGAAACUCGUUUCAAGAUGAGAUCUGCCGGGGCCUUGAGCCCCCUAAAGAGUCGUUCAAGACCAGGACGUUGAUAGGUCGGGUGUGGAAGCGCAGUAAUGCGUUAAGCUAACCGAUACUAAUUGCUCGUGCGGCUUGACC